GCUUACGGCCAUACCACCCUGAACACGCCCGAUCUCGUCAUCUCGGAAGCUAAGCAGGGUCGGGCCUGGUUAGUACUUGGAUGGGAGACCGCCUGGGAAUACCAGGUGCUGUAAGCU
ensembl:rRNA 5S_rRNA 5S ribosomal RNA